UACAAUUAUUAACACUUUUAUAAUUAAUUCCCGUUCGUGGUAAAAUUUUAAUAACUUAUAUUUAAUACGCUGGUGGUAUAUAAAAUUAUAUACGUUAAUUAUAAAACCUAUAUUAUUUCCAAAUAUUGCAAUAGGGUUUCUCAUAAAUAGUCCAAUUUUUAUAAAUAGGUUUUUAAACCAUUAUAUUUUACACAGGGUUUCCGUUAAAACAUCGGUUUUGGUUUUUGGGGUAUUUAAAAUUAUAAUAUUAGCUUUUUUGCAUUUCCACGUUAUAAAACCUCCAAAUAGGGUAUAUAAAUGUCCGUAAAUGAAUUUUGGAUUUUCCCUAACCCCGGCAAAAUCGCUGUUAUUAAAAUUUAAUAAUUUUAAAUUUUUAAAACCCCCAAUUGAAAAAUUAGGUGGUAAAUCGGUUUUAAUUACCCUAUUUCCGUAAAAAACUGUUAGAGAUUUAAUACCUGCUAAAUAACAAAAUAGGCUUUUAAUUGCAAUUAAAAGAAUUAUAAUAAUUUUCGUUAAAAAACGAUAUAAUUAUUAAACCGCAAAACUGAUAUCCGGGCGCGUUAAUAAUAUUAAAUAUAUUAGGGUACCGAUAAUGUAUUAUAACAAUUUAAUUUCCAACGCAUUUACGGGUUUGCCCCCGUUAGGUCUUAGUAUAUCCGGUUAUAAACAAACAAAAAUAGGUUUGUAAUUAAUUAAUCCAAACGUUAUUAAUAUUUCCUUUAUAUAUUAAUUUUAAUGGAACCAAAACAGGCGGUUAGGUUUAUUCUUUAUAAUUUAAACGAUUAAAAAAUAGGCUGCAGGGCCCCUAUUUUUUAACGCGUAUAUUUGCUAAAACGUGUUUUUAAAUCCUAAAUAUAGUGCAAUGUAAAACCUAUUAACAGGCAAUCGUUAAUAAAAAUAAUAAUAAAAUGUUUGGAUUUAGUAUUAUAAAAAACAGCGGGGUUAAAAAUUAGCGGUUUAAAACCUUUUGUAAAAAAUAAACUUUUUAAUUUUAUUUGCCAUUUUUUGGGCCCUGUUUUAAACCGUAUAACGUCUUUUCCAAUUAUAUAAUUUACAUUUCCUUUAAAUUAUAACCAAUUUGCAUUAAAGUUUUAGCGGUGGUAAAAUUGCAAAAUUUAACCCAAUUGCUAAAACCCUUUGGGAUUUGCAGAUAAAUAUUUACUUCGGUAAUAUUACUAUCCAAAAACGCACUAAUAAAGUCGAUUUGUUCUAUUUCCCAAUUUUGUGUAUUAAUUAUAAUUAAUAGUAUACGCCAGGUAAACGGUAUAUUAAUACUAAGAAAAUUUUCGAUAUAAUUUAGGUUUUCGACCUGUAAAAACCCCCUAAUAACAAACCUGGUUUUAUAUUUUGUAGGUUUAUUAUUUUUAUCCUUUUUUAAUUUAAAUACCGGCCGGGUAAAAAUUAGUUUACGGCCUGUAAACAUUUUAAUUUUAGGAAUAAAACGGAAGGUUUUUGCAAUAACAAUUUGGUUGAAUUUAAACGUUAAAAUUAUUAACCAUUUUACAUUCUCAAAAUUAUUUAGGGCUUAUUAGUAAUUAUUUGGUUCGCCGUUUUUAAUGGGGUUUUUUUUGGUUUAAUAAAAAAAAUAAUGCACGUACUCGAUAUCCAUUGGAUUUGGGUUUUCGAAUUGCAAAUCUUAUUCCAUAUUUUGUAUUUUUGUUGUAAACGUUGUUUUCUAUUUAUUUUAUUAAAACGAAUAUAUAUAUUUAGUUAAAUUUAUAUAAUUGAACAAAUUUGCAUAUAAUACCAGUUUAAUCUUAGGAAAAUAAAGUAAAAGAAUCUUAUACGCGUUACAAAAUUGUAUUUGAAUAAAAACCCGCGUUAUAUUAGGUAAACAAUUGUUAUAUUUCUGACAAAACGCGGAAACAAAACCGUUAUUAAUAAUUUAGCUGGUUUUAGCCCGAUUUAAAUUUAAUAUAGUUAAAUAUUUUAUUAAAGGUUUAAAUGUACGCCAUUGGGGCUGAUUGCGGUGGUUUAAUACGCAAUAUACCCCCAAUCUGGCGCAGAAAUGCUGGAUCCGACCUUUUGGGCCACCGCCGGGAACAAAAUAAAUUAAAAAUAAAAUAAAAAUAAUAUAAUAAAAAAAAUAUGGAAUCAAAAAACGUAAAAAAAUAUAAUUUUAAAAAUUUGCGGCCGUUUAAUUUUUUGUUUAAUUAUUUGGAAUAUAAUUUUUAUCUCGCAAAUUUUUUUCUUUUUUGAAUAUUUCAGGCGAUUUGGUAUUAUUGUAACGCGAUUUGAUUAAAUCGCAUCGUCGUUUUAGCAUUUGUAAUACGCAAAUUAAUAUUGCAAUUAAAUUUAUUAUAAUGUAAUAUUUUUAACCUGUUUUGGUUUAUAAAUAUAAUAUAACGGAUUACUUUAAAUUUUCUCGCCGCAAAUAUUUCAUAUUAUAAUUAAUUCGGCUUAAAACAAUAUUUUUUUAGCAAAACGCGGGCGCAAAUUCCGGAUUUUCCGCGUUUAUACCCGAAUUAUUAACCAAAUUGAAAAUUUUUAACCGAAAAAAAAUCGCCUAAAAGUUGGAAUUUUUUGGACAAAUAUAAAAAGGUAGGUUAAUUUUUUUAUUUUUAAUUAAAUUUGUACUAAUUCUUCCUUAAAAGAAUUUUGCGGGCAUUUUUUUGGAAACAAAUAUUUGUUAAUAAAAUAAAUGGAAAAAACGUAAAAACCGUCGCGUUACCGAACGCGAAGGAAUUCGGGCCAAAUCGGCCGUCCAAAAUAUUACGGCGCAAAUUAUAAAAUUAAAUUUUAUUUCUGGUUUAAUUGGCGCGAAAUUAACCAAAUCAAUUAUUAAUUUAUAAACGUGGAUUUUAAUACGGCGAAACGCGCCGGUAAACGCGUUUCCAAAAGUUAUUAUUAAUUAUACACAUUAUUUGUUAUAAAUAAUAAAACUUAUAACAAGUCGGCGUAUUAUAAUUACGAGGGAAAGUUGGCCAAAAAUAACAAAAUAAAAUGUGAAAUUAUCGCCACGGGUACCGCAAAUAUAAAUUAAUAUAAAUGGAAAAAUUUUGUUUUUAACCGCAAUUCCGUUUUAACUAAUUAAUUUAUUAAAUUUGCAUCUUAUAAUUGUUAUUUUUACGAUGGUUCGCAAAAAUAAUUAUACCAAAAUAUAUUACCAAUUAUAUAUUAUUAAUUACGUCCGUUUUGUAAUUAAUUUUCCGCAAUUGCAAUAAAAUUUCCGUAAUGGAAUAAUCGGUAUCGCGGCGGCGAAAAUUAACAUUUCUUCGCUAAAUCGGGCUGAAAUUUUGGCAGUUUUAUUACCAACGAAAGUUUAAAGCGCGUAUUUUAAAAAGAAAUUCGGAAAAAAGGUAUUUUUUGCAAUUUAAUAAUUAUAACUGUGACGAUUAAAAUAUUGGGUAACCUGUUUUUAUGGUAAAGUACAGUGGGUUGAAGCAAUUAAGCGUCUGAUUGGGUAACUGGGGAUUUUUAAUAAUUGGGGUGAAAUUAUAAUCGAUUCCUGGGUAGGUAAUAAAUUAAUUACUGCUAAACAAUCCUAAACUAAAUUUUGUUUAUAUGGUAAUAAACGUGCCUUAUAUAAUUAAUGUUCCAAAUGUAAUUUUUCCUAAUUUAUUACAAAUUACAGAAAUUAUUUCGCCUAAUUUAUUGUAAUCUUUUAAAAAUUAUUAAAAUUACUUUUUUGGCGAUUACGUGGCGUUACGUGAUUUUUUUUUAGGUAAUCGAUAUUUU
rnacentral:sRNA from 1 species